AGAAGAGAAGGAGCUAAACAUUCCAGUAAUCAAGGAAAAUGGCAAAGAUGAUGGGAAGGAGGACCAGAGAAGUGAAGAGAAGGCAGUUGCUGCAGCUUCAAAAUCAAGUCUUGGGCUU